rfam:Camelus ferus unplaced genomic scaffold scaffold593, whole genome shotgun sequence.
GAGGAUAUAGCUCAGUGAUAGAGUGUAUGCUUAGCAUGAACAAGGUCCUGGGUUCAAUUCUCAGUACCUCCA